rnacentral:lncRNA from 1 species
GCUUUGUCCAAUUAAAGUAAAUCACGAAGUAAAUCUAUUUUAUAUAUAUAUAUAUAUAUAUACAAUAUUUAUAAAUAGAAAAGAAGAACUUCAACUUAGAGAAACAAAAUAGUUAGAAUGAUCACAAUAUUUUUAAAAUCCUUUUAAAUGGAUAAUUGAGCAAAUAAGAAAACAAGGGAAAUAUUCAAGAUAAGAAAGUAAAAGUAUUGAAGCUCCAGAAUCAUACUGGGUGGUGGGUUUGUGGAAUGAGGGAGGAGUUAGAAGUGGAUGGAGGAGAUUGCUAUUCUAUUUCCAUCAGUUUUAAAGGUUGAAUGAGGGUUUGGAUCCAAGAAAGAGAUGGUAAAUUAGAAAUAAGAUCCUACACUCAACUAGGCCCCCCAAAAGGAUAUGCCUUCAUGAAAAAGAAUAGAAUAGCUACUUCACUAGGGAAAUUUACCCUCAUAAGGAAACUUAUAAGUAAGUAUUACUUAUAGUAUUUAUACUAUAAUAACUUAUAAGUAUUACUCUCAUUAAUAAUGAGAAAAACAACAGUCUAUUCAUAUGAAGCAAAAGUAUAAAAAUAUACCUGAGGUUGGAAAUCACCAAAUUUACCAGGUAGAAAGUAAGUGUCUCUGCUGAAAAUUCAUAACUGUGUGGAAUUAAGGUUCCAAUUUAAGCUACAUGAGUGGUCUAGAAAACCAUAAUCAGAAAUAACAUUAAAAAAAAAAAAAAGUCUUAGGUGGUGGUACUUCUGGAAUGCCUGGAAAAAGAAAAGCACCAACCACUCUGGAGGGACAUACCAAACUUAUGUUUCCCAGGACUUCCAUACAAAGGGAUCUUGCAAAAAAGUUCAUAAUGCACAAUCUAAAAUCCAUGAGGAACCAAAUUUACCAUGAGCAAAAUCAUAAGAUACAAUAAAUAGUAAUAAGGAUAUCACUUCCCUUAAAAUUUCAGACAUUAGAACUAUCAGAUAAAAAUUAUAAAUAUGCAUCCUACCGUAUUUAUUUAAUAUUUAGUAUUCUUAGUGGAUUCACACACCUUUUUUUUUUUAAUUCAAUGGAUUAAGAAUUUAAGUGUGAAAAUAAACCUUUAAAAUUUUAGAAGGAAAAUAUAGCUGAAUAUCUUGAUGCAAGGGUUAGGAAGGAUUUCUUAUGCUUCGCCACCACCACCACCAAAAAAUUUUAAAGAAAGUCAUAUAUUUGAUUAUAUUAAAAUUAAAAUUCUCUAUAUAGCAAAAGAUAAACUUAUUUAUUUAUUUAUUUAUUUAUUUAUUUUAAGAUAAACUUAUUUAAUCAUAAACCACAAAUAUAUUUAUUUAUGAUGAGAUAGAGACUAGCAAAACCUAUUUGCAAUGAAUAUAUCCAAGAAAGGAUUUGAAUUUUUUUUUUUAAUUUAUUUAUGAUAGUCACACAGAGAGAGAGAGAGACAGAGACACAGGCAGAGAGAGAAGCAGGCUCCAUGCACCAGGAGCCUGAUGUGGGAUUUGAUCCCGGGUCUCCAGGAUCGCGCCCUGGGCCAAAGGCAGGUGCCAAACCGCUGCGCCACCCAGGGAUCCCCAACAAAGGAUUUGAAUCUAGAAUAAACUCCUGAAAAUCAAUAAGAAAAGGCAGAGAAUGCCACUGAAAAAUGAGCAAAGGAUUUAAGAGAAAAGAAAGAAACUUUGGAACCUAGAAUCUUGGGGAAAUUUUUCCUCCUUUACAGUUUCUAGAGAAAGUUUUGAACAGGCACAUAAGAUUUGAUACAAAAAUUUUCCUUCAAAUGUUAUUUGUAAAAACCAACAAAUUGAAAACAAUGUAAAUGUCCAUCAAGAGAAGAAUAAACAGUUCCAUUGUGCUAUAUUCUACUAUUCUACACUGGAGUGCGAUAAGACAAUUAAAAUAGCUGCAGCUACAUAUAUAAAAGGAAUUUGGACAUUGACACCUAUAUUCUGAGGCCAUUUAUAUGAAAUUUAAUAACGAGAAAAACAAGUCUAUUUAUAUGAAGCAAAAGAAUAAAAAUAUCAUACUGAGGUAAAAACCACCAAAUUCAAAAUAAUGAUUAUUACUUCUAAGAAGAAAAGAAGGGAAUAUGAUCAAGUAGGGAUUCACAGGGGCUUCAAAUAUAUCUGUAAUAUAUUUCUUUUAAAGGAAAUUAUCUUAAAGUAUCUUCUAAGCUUUAAGUUGGAUGAGUGCCUAAGUUCCAUUUUAUUAUUCUUUACAUUUCCUGUAUGUUUGAAAUAUUAUUUCAGUAAAAGAAAGAGAGAUUUUUUUUUUAUCCAAUUCACUAAAUAAAUGUUGGUUUUAUAAUUAACUGAUGUGUUGCCGUGUUUCCCAGGCCCUGUGUAAUUCGAUUGCAUUAGGCCCAGGUCUACCCUUAGGAUGAACGUCAUACUUCUUGGAAGCGACCUACAGAAUGAUGUCCUGCUAUUUUGGUGUUUGACUAGACAAGGUCAGGGAGGUUGAUCUUUUUCAAAUGAAUAAUCUGCAAGGUUGUUAAGGAUUGAAACGUAUUCCUCCAGAUUUCUUCUAUUGAAGUCUUAACCCCUGUUAUAACUGUAUUUGGAGAUAUGGCCUUUUAAGAAGUGAUUAAGGGUAAUAGAUGAUAUUGUAAAUACGGGCCUUGUUAGGACCGGUGUCUUUAUAAGAAAAGAGCACCAAAGAAGAGGCCAUGUGAGGACAGAGCAAGAAGGAGGCUGUUUGCAAGUCAACGAGAGAGGCCUUAGGCAAAACCAAACCCAGCAGCACCCUGGUCUUUGACAUCCAGCCUCCAGAACUGUGAGAAAAUUAAUUUUUGUUGCUUAAGUCAUAUAGUCUGUAGUAUUUUGUUAUGGCAGCCUUAGCAACCUAAGGUUGCUAUUGAAACACAAGAAUAAGUGAGAUUGUAAGUCCAGAAAUCAAUUGAAGACCAGAGGAAGAAAAAUUAACCUAAGAAACUGAAAAAGCCCGAAGAAUAGCAAGGGGCAAAGUUGUUAGCAGUAUUGGAUUGGCUAAGACAGAUCGGAAGAGACGUUCAGUGAGCCAUGGCCUUACUCAAACAUCACGUGAUUGCUAGCAUGGGUGAAAACCCAGGUGUAAAUCCCAUCUACAGGUAGAAAUAGAUUUUGUUUCAGCUAUUGUGUGAAUAGGGGCUUUGACUUUUGCACUGUAUUUGUACUAUUGUUUUGGGUUUUUUUUGUAUUAUUGUUAACAUAAUGUCCUAUGAAUUUUGGCAUAUUAGCAAAUCCUCUGUGGUUUGUGCUCAAUGACUUAAUUUGAAGCCCGUUCACAUUUUUAAAAACCACAAACAAAAACAAAAGACAAACAAAUAAACAAAAGCAAACACCACACCCAGGUUUUAGGUAGACAAUGGGUCAAGUUAACGCCAAAGAAGUUAGUGUUUGAGUUUUAAAAUAAUAUCUGUAUUUUUCAUUUACUGCCUCUUCUUGGACAUGAAUCGUUUCUUGUCUCUAUUCCUUUGGAUGAGUGGAUUGUACUGAGGUGAAAGGGAAGGUAAGAUAUAAAGGGUUGUGCUGUGGAGAGUUAAGCCAGAGGAAUGACUAAAUAAAAGGAAAGAAAUGAUGUUAGCCACACUGGAUUUGUAUGGAAACAAUGUAUGGAAUAUCCUUAAUA